rnacentral:lncRNA from 1 species
CCUCAAGUCCUCGACAGGACCUGCCCAAGAGCUCAGCUACCGCGAGGAGGUGACUCACCGGGGGCGGAGACAGGAGGAGUGGCACCAACUGUGAGUAGUUAAAAACCUACCCAGGGAGCGCGGCGACCAGAGCGGGUCGAGGCAGUUUGCGCAAGCAGGCGAGCAGGAUGGUGAGCACUCGCCGUACGACCAGGGUCUGAUCUGGGAGCUCUGCCUUGGCUGACCCGGUGGUGGCCAGCGUAGGCACCCAGACAGAGCCGUUCACAGGACUGCAACAUGUCUUCUGAAGUAGAUGACGAAGAAACAAACAUCCAUGGGAUCAUCUGCUUAGGUCUGAUCCUCUGGUUUUGUGGCUGCCUCUUGGAAUUCAACAGAUACCUAUGCAACAGUAAGGAAAAGAAGUGAGCAAAGGAGAUAUGAGGACACUCCAGUACUUCCUCAAGGAGUCAAGCACCUGUCAAGUUGUAUUGUUGAUACACCCCAGCAAUGAGACACUACAAAAGCUGUUCAAAGAAGAACAUAUUUUUCCUGAGCAUUGUUCUGGGGAAAAAAACCCACAACCUCAAAGCGAAUCUUUUCAGAAAGUUGAAGACAAGAAUGGUUGGAAGAAUAUUGUCAACAGAGAUGAAACAAUACAACAGUUAUUGAAGAUAUGUGUAAGAGGCUCUGCAAGUCUUUGUCUCUUGGAUCCAGGACAAUUAUGGAUAAGAUGGACCAAGAACCAAUGAAGAAAGAAGAUUCUUGAGAAGUUUGGGUUGCCCAGCAGACCAUGAAGAAACAUGCAUUUGAAAAGGGUGUAUGCAAAAAAACAUGCUAGAACAUGCAGAUAACUGAGUUUAUAUCAAAUUGAGUGGGAUAAAUGGCUGGUUUUUGCCUGUUUAUGUCUGU